UACGAAGGGUGCAAGCGUUACUCGGAAUUACUGGGCGUAAAGCGUGCGUAGGUGGUUUGUUAAGUCUGAUGUGAAAGCCCUGGGCUCAACCUGGGAAUUGCAUUGGAUACUGGCAGGCUAGAGUGCGGUAGAGGAUGGCGGAAUUCCCGGUGUAGCAGUGAAAUGCGUAGAGAUCGGGAGGAACAUCUGUGGAAGGCGGCCAUCUGGACCAGCACUGACACUGAGGCACGAAAGCGUGGGGAGCAAACAGG
rnacentral:rRNA from 1 species